rnacentral:rRNA from 1 species
AGCAGCCGCGGUAAUUCCAGCUCCAAUAGCGUAUAUUAAAGUUGUUGCAGUUAAAAAGCUCGUAGUUGAAUUUCGGGAUCAAGGAAUCGGUCAUGCCUUGGUAUGUACUGGUUUUAUUGGUUCUCACCUUCUAAAGAACCAUAAUGUCAUUUAUUUGAUGUUAUGGGGAAUUAGGACUGUUACCUUGAAAAAAUUAGAGUGUUUAAAGCAAGCUUACGCUUGAAUACAUUAGCAUGGAAUAAUGAAAUAGGACAUCAGAUUCUAUUUUGUUGGUUUCUAGGAUCGAUGUAAUGAUUAAUAGGGAUAGUUGGGGGCAUUAGUAUUCAAUUGUCAGAGGUGAAAUUCUUGGAUUUAUUGAAGACUAACUACUGCGAGAGCAUUUGCCAAGGAUGUUUUCAUUAAUCAAGAACGAAAGUUAGGGGAUCGAAGACGAUCAGAUACCGUCGUAGUCUUAACCAUAAGCUAUGCCGACUAGGGAUCGGAUGAUGUUAAUUUUAUAAUGACU